UUUCUUUUCACUAUUCUUCCCUUUUUAUUUCUCUUUAACUUCUGGUGAAUCAGCGAUUGAAGGAAAGAAAUCACUAAACGUUAGUUGAUUUAGAUCCUUGAAUUUAAGUAGCGUGGAGUUUCAAGGACAAGUCUGCAAAUGGUUCUUUUGUUGUGGAAUGAGCUUUUACGCCACUUGAGUAUGUUUUUCCCAUGCCAUUUCACUGAUGACUCCGUCUCUCGGCAAUCAGGACACAUUUUACUUUUUGGUCUACUGUUUUGAUGGGAACUUUCCGUACUCUUGUGAUAAUUAUGAUGAUUGUUCACAUACUGGUUUGGUAGACUUCAGUACUGGUCAUUCUCAGCAGUUUGAAUUCUUUCUAUUGAUCAUGAAUUUUAAUAUCAUAUUGUGGUAAGUGAUUCUCGUUCUCUUGCUAAGUUCUUAUGCAAUUGCUGCCAAUACUUGUAUUUGUAAGUUUUGGUUAUGGAUUCAUAACGUGCUUUGUGGAUGUUUCCUUCCUGACAACUAUAUUUGGAAACUACAGAACUCUAUUUUAGGAACGUCGGGCCUAAGUGGCACCCCACCAACUCGGUGGCUACCCGGAAGAUCGUUGCGGCAACGAUGGCUGGUAACCAGAACUACCCUGAAGGUGGCACUGGCCAUGAAAGAAUAGAGCAAUUUUAUCUGAAUUUAAAUGAAUGGCAGCUUACAAUUGUUUGUGAACAAAUGCUUUACAUUUAUUUAUGGAUUCCAGAUUUAUAGUUUUAUGCUUUAUUGAUGCUUUAACCUUUGGCAUUUUAUUUGUAUAUCUCGUAACGUUCGAUUGCCGUUAUAACUCCUACUAGGCUGUGGGCUCACCCCGUUUUGUUUUGUUUUUCCACAGAGUACGAAGAGAGAUUGAAGCAGUAAGCUUGAGAAUAGCUUACGACAUGAAGCGUUUGAGCAAAAGUGGUAUUUUUCUCUCAUCUCUUAUAUAUAUAUCACGGGAAUAUCUGGGUAGUCUUAAGUUUCCUUUGGCUCAUGUUUUUGUGAUAUUUAUGUUAUGUACAUAACACUGGGAUUUCGUGCAAAGUUUAUCCGUCGUAGAGGGGUCGAAUGGUUUUUGUUUAAAUAUACUCAGUACCCAAUAUGCUCCCCAUCUUACUGUCAAUUUUUGAACUUGUUUUAGUCUAUGAGAUUGAAAGGGGUCUGAUCCAUAAAUUUUGGUACUUCCUUUAUAUUUAAAAUCUUUAUGUAUUGGCAGUUUGUACUUGUGUUUUUAGCAUGUUGAUUAAUUUGUUUAUAAUGCAAAUGUCUUAACUUGUACUUAACGUUUCUUUAUAUGGCAAUAGUGUUCUAAUAUCUUAA